CUGGACAAGGUAUCCUGUGGAAAGCCCCAGCUUCCAGAUUUUGUCUUAAAUCCUCUUCCUGGUGUCACUUACUUUGUGCCUCCACCCUGCAAAGCCUAUCUCUAAAGUCUUGGUCAGAAGCCAUCAUUAGUGAUGGUGUGUUUUUUCUCUCGAGUCACAUCAGGAGACACCUAAUAUUUGGUCAUCCUACCAAUAGCCACACUAAGACUGAAUUAAGGUGGUGACAGCCUGAUCCUAGAACAACAGUGUUGAAGAAGAUGGAAAGGAUCCCUGCUCUCAUGGAGCUUACAUUCUAGUGGGAGAGAGGGACGAUGGACAAUGACCAACAUCACCGAAGUCACAACACUCACCAAAUGUCACCAAGGGCAGCAGAAAUACAGAGUAUUUCACCGUAUCAUUACUACCUGAGGCCGUUUUGACAGCCCCCACAAAGAUGAGAAUCUGAGAAUUGGUGAUCUAUGACUUGCCUGAGAGCUCUCCUACCGAGUUCAGCAAAUAGCAGGCACGCACUGCUGCUUCUCACCUCCAAACCAGAAAGGCACACGCAUGCACUUGGAGUCACUCUACUGAGCUCUCACAGCAAAUGGCUUCUGCCCACAUGAAAACAAGGUGAAGUAAGAAGAAAAUGCCUCGGAGGUAGAAGAAUCGAGGAUCACUUCCAACUUGAGUCUCUAGGAUCAUUAAUGGCCACGUGCUAUGAGUCUGCAGCAUAUAGUUUUGCAUAUAAAACAAGGUACUGUGACAUGUAAAUUUAAAUAGUCAACCAUAAUAUUAAGAAUAUAUUUUUUAAUAAAUGCCUCUGAAUUAUUGAAAAUUACA
rnacentral:lncRNA from 1 species